GAUGAACGCUGGCGGCGUGCCUAAUACAUGCAAGUCGAGCGAACGGACGAGAAGCUUGCUUCUCUGAUGUUAGCGGCGGACGGGUGAGUAACACGUGGAUAACCUACCUAUAAGACUGGGAUAACUUCGGGAAACCGGGGCUAAUACCGGAUAAUAUUUUGAACCGCAUGGUUCAAAAGUGAAAGACGGUCUUGCUGUCACUUAUAGAUGGAUCCGCGCUGCAUUAGCUAGUUGGUAAGGUAACGGCUUACCAAGGCAACGAUGCAUAGCCGACCUGAGAGGGUGAUCGGCCACACUGGAACUGAGACACGGUCCAGACUCCUACGGGAGGCAGCAGUAGGGAAUCUUCCGCAAUGGGCGAAAGCCUGACGGAGCAACGCCGCGUGAGUGAUGAAGGUCUUCGGAUCAUAAAACUCUGUUAUUAGGGAAGAACAUAUGUGUAAGUAACUGUGCACAUCUUGACGGUACCUAAUCAGAAAGCCACGGCUAACUACGUGCCAGCAGCCGCGGUAAUACGUAGGUGGCAAGCGUUAUCCGGAAUUAUUGGGCGUAAAGCGCGCGUAGGCGGUUUUUUAAGUCUGAUGUGAAAGCCCGCGGCUCAACCGUGGAGGGUCAUUGGAAACUGGAAAACUUGAGUGCAGAAGAGGAAAGUGGAAUUCCAUGUGUAGCGGUGAAAUGCGCAGAGAUAUGGAGGAACACCAGUGGCGAAGGCGACUUUCUGGUCUGUAACUGACGCUGAUGUGCGAAAGCGUGGGGAUCAAACAGGAUUAGAUACCCUGGUAGUCCACGCCGUAAACGAUGAGUGCUAAGUGUUAGGGGGUUUCCGCCCCUUAGUGCUGCAGCUAACGCAUUAAGCACUCCGCCUGGGGAGUACGACCGCAAGGUUGAAACUCAAAGGAAUUGACGGGGACCCGCACAAGCGGUGGAGCAUGUGGUUUAAUUCGAAGCAACGCGAAGAACCUUACCAAAUCUUGACAUCCUUUGACAACUCUAGAGAUAGAGCUUUCCCCUUCGGGGGACAAAGUGACAGGUGGUGCAUGGUUGUCGUCAGCUCGUGUCGUGAGAUGUUGGGUUAAGUCCCGCAACGAGCGCAACCCUUAAGCUUAGUUGCCAUCAUUAAGUUGGGCACUCUAAGUUGACUGCCGGUGACAAACCGGAGGAAGGUGGGGAUGACGUCAAAUCAUCAUGCCCCUUAUGAUUUGGGCUACACACGUGCUACAAUGGACAAUACAAAGGGCAGCGAAACCGUGAGGUCAAGCAAAUCCCAUAAAGUUGUUCUCAGUUCGGAUUGUAGUCUGCAACUCGACUACAUGAAGCUGGAAUCGCUAGUAAUCGUAGAUCAGCAUGCUACGGUGAAUACGUUCCCGGGUCU
rnacentral:rRNA from 1 species